rnacentral:rRNA from 1 species
UACGUAGGCAGCAAGCGUUGUUCGGAGUUACUGGGCGUAAAGGGCGCGCAGGCGGUCGUUCAAGUCGAGUGUGAAAGCCCCCCGGCUCAACUGGGGAGGGUCACUCGAUACUGAUCGACUCGAAGGCAGGAGAGGGAAGUGGAAUUCCCGGUGUAGUGGUGAAAUGCGUAGAUAUCGGGAGGAACACCAGUGGCGAAGGCGACUUCCUGGCCUGUUCUUGACGCUGAGGCGCGAAAGCUAGGGGAGCAAACGGG